rnacentral:rRNA from 1 species
AUUGAACGCUGGCGGCAGGCCUAACACAUGCAAGUCGAACGAGAGGCGGCCGGGUGAGUAAUGUCUGGGAAACUGCCUGACGGAGCGCGGUAAGUACCGGACACGGUAGCUAAUACCGCAUACCAUCGGAUGUGCCGAGAUGGGAUUAGCUAGUAGGUGGGGUAAAGCAUCACCAAGGCGACGAUCACUAGCUGGUCUGAGAGGAUGACCAGCCACACUGGAACUGAGACACGGUCCAGACUCCUACGGGAGGCAGCAUUGGGGAAUAUUGCACAAUGGGCGCAAGCCUGAUGCAGCCAUGCCGCGUGUAUGAAGAAGGCCUUCGGAUUGUAAAGUACUUUCAGCUGGGAGGCGUUACUCGCAGAAUAGGCACCGGCUAACUCCGUGCCAGCAGCCGCGGUAAUAC